AACGAACGCUGGCGGCAUGCCUAACACAUGCAAGUCGAACGAGACCUUCGGGUCUAGUGGCGCACGGGUGCGUAACGCGUGGGAACCUGCCCUUAGGUUCGGAAUAACUCCCCGAAAGGGGUGCUAAUACCGGAUAAUGUCUUCGGACCAAAGUUUUAUCGCCUUUGGAUGGGCCCGCGUUGGAUUAGCUAGUUGGUAGGGUAAAAGCCUACCAAGGCGACGAUCCAUAGCUGGUCUGUGAGGAUGAUCAGCCACACUGGGACUGAGACACGGCCCAGACUCCUACGGGAGGGAGCAGUGGGGAAUAUUGGACGAUGGGGGAAAGCCUGAUCCAGCAAUGCCGCGUGAGUGAUGAAGGCCGUAGGGUUGUAAAGCUCUUUGACCCGGGAUGAUAAUGACGGUACCGGGAGAAUAAGCACCGGCUAACUACGUG
rnacentral:rRNA from 1 species